UAGUCCACGCUGUAAACGAUGAGUGCAAGGUGUUGGGGGUCAAACCCCGGUGCCGCCGUUAACACAGUAAGCACUCCGCCUGGGGAGUACGUACGCAAGUAUGAAACUCAAAGGAAUUGACGGGGACCCGCACAAGUAGCGGAGCAUGUGGUUUAAUUCGAUGCAACGCGAAGAACCUUACCUACUCUUGACAUCCACAGAACUUUCCAGAGAUGGAUUGGUGCCUUCGGGAACUGUGAGAC
rnacentral:rRNA from 1 species